rnacentral:rRNA from 1 species
AGCAGCCGCGGUAAUUCCAGCUCCAAUAGCGUAUAUUAAAGUUGUUGCAGUUAAAAGCUCGUAGUUGAAUUUCGGGAUCAAUAUAUUGGUCAUGCUUAGGUAUGUACUGGUAUUAUUGAUUUCUCCCUUCUGAAGAACCAUGAUGUCAUUAAUUUGAUGUCGUGGGGAAUCAGGACUGUUUGAAAAAUUAGAGUGUUUAAAGCAGGCUUUCGCUUGAAUACAUUAGCAUGGAAUAAUGAAAUAGGACGUUUGAUUCUAUUUUGUUGGUUUCUAGGAUCGACAUAAUGAUUAAUAGGGAUAGUUGGGGGCAUUAGUAUUCAAUUGUCAGAGGUGAAAUUCUUGGAUUUAUUGAAGACUAACUACUGCGAAAGCAUUUGCCAAGGAUGUUUUCAUUAAUCAAGAACGAAAGUUAGGGGAUCGAAGACGAUCAGAUACCGUCGUAGUCUUAAC